rnacentral:rRNA from 1 species
UACGAAGGGGCUAGCGUUGCUCGGAAUUACUGGGCGUAAAGGGAGCGUAGGCGGAUAGUUUAGGUCAGAGGUGAAAGCCCAGGGCUCAACCUUGGAAUUGCCUUUGAUACUGGCUAUCUUGAGUACGGAAGAGGUAUGUGGAACUCCGAGUGUAGAGGUGAAUUCGUAGAUAUUCGGAAGAACACCAGUGGCGAAGGCGACAUACUGGUCCGUUACUGACGCUGAGGCUCGAAGC